UCGUGGACGAUUAUGGUUGUUGGUGAGGUAACGGCUCACCAAGCCGAUAAUCGAUAGGGGCCGUGAGAGCGGGAGCCCCGAGAUGGGUACUGAGACAACGACCCAGGCCUUACGAGGCGCAGCAGGCGCGGAACCUCCGCAAUACACGAAAGUGUGACGGGGUUACCCAAAGUGUUCAAUUCUGAACUGUGGUAGGUGAGUAAUGUCCCCUACUAGAAAGGAGAGGGCAAGGCUGGUGCCAGCCGCCGCGGUAAAACCAGCUCUUCAAGUGGUCGGGAUAAUUAUUGGGCUUAAAGUGUCCGUAGCCGGUUUGGCAAGUUCCUGGUAAAAUCGGGUAGCUUAACUAUCCGUAUGCUAGGAAUACUGCUAUACUA
rnacentral:rRNA from 1 species